rnacentral:rRNA from 1 species
AGAGACCGGCGCACGGGUGCGUAACGCGUAUGCAACCUACCUUUUACAGAGGGAUAGCCCAGAGAAAUUUGGAUUAAUACCUCAUGGUAUAAUUGAAUCGCAUGGUUUAAUUAUUAAAGUUCCAACGGUAAAAGAUGGGCAUGCGUCCUAUUAGCUAGAUGGUAAGGUAACGGCUUACCAUGGCUACGAUAGGUAGGGGUCCUGAGAGGGAGAUCCCCCACACUGGUACUGAGACACGGACCAGACUCCUACGGGAGGCAGCAGUGAGGAAUAUUGGACAAUGGGCGCAAGCCUGAUCCAGCCAUGCCGCGUGCAGGAAGACGCAUCUAUGGUGUGUAAACUGCUUUUGUACGGGAAGAAACACUCCCUCGUGAGGGAGCUUGACGGUACCGUAAGAAUAAGGAUCGGCUAACUUCGUGCCAGCAGCCGCGGUAAGACGAAGGAUCCAAGCGUUGUCCGGAUUUACUGGGUUUAAAGGGUGCGUAGGCGGAUGCUUAAGCCAGUGGUGAAAUCUCUCAGCUCAACUGAGAA